rnacentral:rRNA from 1 species
UACGUAGGAAACUAGCGUUGUCCAAAAUCAUUAGGCAUAAAAAGCGCGUAGGCCCCCCGGUAAGUCCGCUGUAAAAGUCCAGAACUCAACCCUAAAAAGCCAGUAAAUACUGUCGGGCUCGAGUCCAGAAGAAACGAGUGGAAUUCCUGGUGUAGCAAUAGAAUGCGCAGAUAUCAAGAAGAACACCAAUGGCGAAAACAGCUCGCUGGGACGGUACUGACGCUAAGGCGCGAAAGCGUGGGGAGCGAACAGG